rnacentral:rRNA from 1 species
GCAAGUCGAACGAAGUACUUUAGGAAGCUUGCUUCCAAAGAGACUUAGUGGCGAACGGGUGAGUAACACGUAGGUAACCUGCCCAUGUGCCCGGGAUAACUGCUGGAAACGGUAGCUAAAACCGGAUAGGUAUGAGGGAGGCAUCUUCCUCAUAUUAAAGCACCUUCGGGUGUGAACAUGGAUGGACCUGCGGCGCAUUAGCUGGUUGGUGAGGUAACGGCCCACCAAGGCGAUGAUGCGUAGCCGACCUGAGAGGGUGAACGGCCACAUUGGGACUGAGACACGGCCCAAACUCCUACGGGAGGCAGCAGUAGGGAAUUUUCGUCAAUGGGGGGAACCCUGAACGAGCAAUGCCGCGUGUGUGAAGAAGGUCUUCGGAUCGUAAAGCACUGUUGUAAGUGAAGAAUGCCACAUAGAGGAAAUGCUAUGUGUGUGACGGUAGCUUACCAGAAAGCCACGGCUAACUACGUGCCAGCAGCCGCGGUAAUACGUAGGUGGCAAGCGUUAUCCGGAAUCAUUGGGCGUAAAGGGUGCGUAGGUGGCACGAUAAGUCUGAAGUAAAAGGCAACAGCUCAACUGUUGUAUGCUUUGGAAACUGUCGAGCUAGAGUGCAGAAGAGGGCGAUGGAAUUCCAUGUGUAGCGGUAAAAUGCGUAGAUAUAUGGAGGAACACCAGUGGCGAAGGCGGUCGCCUGGUCUGUAACUGACACUGAUGCACGAAAGCGUGGGGAGCAAAUAGGAUUAGAUACCCUAGUAGUCCACGCCGUAAACGAUGAGAACUAAGUGUUGGAGAGAUUCAGUGCUGCAGUUAACGCAAUAAGUUCUCCGCCUGGGGAGUAUGCACGCAAGUGUGAAACUCAAAGGAAUUGACGGGGGCCCGCACAAGCGGUGGAGUAUGUGGUUUAAUUCGAAGCAACGCGAAGAACCUUACCAGGCCUUGACAUGGAUAUAAAUGUUCUAGAGAUAGAAAGAUAGCUAUAUAUCAC